GACGAACGCUGGCGGCGUGCUUAAUACAUGCAAGUUGAGCGAUGAAGAUUGGUGCUUGCACGAAGCUCAAGAGCCGCACACGGGUGAGUAACGCGUGUGGAAUCCGCCUUUCAUCGGGGGAAAACAUUUGAAAACGAAUGCUAAUACCGCAUAACAACUUUAAACAUAAUUUUUAAGGUUGAAAGAUGCAAGUGCAUCACUCACAGAUGACCCCGCGUUGUAUUAGCUGGGUAGUGGGGUAAAGGCUCAUCAAGGCGAAGAUACAUAGCCGACCUGAGAGGGUGAUCGGCCACAUUGGGACGGAGACAGGGCCCAUACGCCUACGGGAGGAGGCAGUAGUGAAUCGUCGGCAAUCGGUGAAAGACUGAGCGAGCAAGGCCGCGUGAGUGAAGAGGGUUGCCGGAUCGUAAAUCUCUGUUGUUAGAGAAGAAAGCUGGUGAGAGUGGAAAGCUCAUCAAGUGACGGUAACUAGCCAAGAAGCGACGGCUAACUACGUG
rnacentral:rRNA from 1 species